rnacentral:misc_RNA from 1 species
UGGCUCCAGCAUCGAUGAAGAACGCAGCGAAAUGCGAUAAGUAAUGUGAAUUGCAGAAUCCAGUGAAUCAUCGAAUCUUUGAACGCACAUUGCGCCCGCCGGCACUCCGGCGGGCAUGCCUGUCCGAGCGUCAUUUCAACCCUCAGGCCCGGCCUGGUGUUGGCGCAUCGCGGUCCCCCGAGCGCUGAAAAUCAGUGGCGGGCUCGCUGUAAUUCUGGGCGUAGUACUACGUCGCCUCGGCUUUACAGCAGGCCUAGCCCCCCAAAUUUUAGAGUUGACCUCGGAUCAGGUAGGAAUACCCGCUGA